GGGUUGGAGAGAGCCUGGGUGAACCUUGGCACAUUAUCCCCAAAAGGCCCCUAUGAAGUCUUGUAUUUGUGUCCCCUGUAGUGGCAUUCCUAGGUUUGGGUACCAUUUCAGUGGAAUCGGGGAAAUGAUCUAGAAGAACAGGAUUGGGGGGAGGUGGGCGACCGGAUCAUUUCAAGAGGUUGAGGUGUUUGUAUUGUCAUUUCCUGGAGAAGGAAGUGGGGAGGGGAGGGGAGGGGCGCCUUCCUCAGCAUCUCACCCUUCCCCUCACCCCUCUUCCCAGAGCAGCAUCAUGAAUUUGCAGGUCCCAAUACUGCUGACAUUUCUCACCACUGACACCUUCCUGGGACUUCUGAAGAUAUUGGGGUUAGGUCUUAAUUAAAUGGUGACUUCCUUUGAGGGCAAGGAGCAAGUGAUCUCUAGGGGCUGGGAGGUGUCUCCACCAGCCCACCAUGCAGACAGGGUCUGCCCCACAAGACCCCCAGGCUGCUCCCUCUGAGACAGGUGGGAUCUAGUGCUUUGUGUUUGGAAACACUAGUGGUUUAUAUCAGUCAGAGGCUUUGAGAACACUUGAUGUGGACCCAGUGUGCCCAGCAUGCAGUUUGUGAAACCAGGGUUUAUUUUGCAUGACUCUUGGGGAGCCCAAUAGAAGCAAACAGUCCUAGUGGUUGUCACUACGCACCUGCACUGCUACCUGAGCCACCUGAGCCUUUGGUCCACGAAGCACCCGGUGUGACCCUCCUUGCAAAUCCUUGGGCUGUGAUUUCAGGCUGGACCUUCGCCAGGCUGGCUGGCUUCUCAACUCUGUUUCCCUGGGGGAUGGGUUUGUGAUGAGUCAGAUUGAUGUGGAGCCUGGUGAGCUCUGUGUGUCUUGUCAGCAAAGCAGGAGGCCCACAGUCUCUGGCUUAUACGUUGAAUUAGCCUACUCACGUGGGGUGCUGCAAGCAGGUAAUGUUGUGGAUUACUCUUGGCAGGAAAGCCAGCCUGGCUAUGCUGAGAAUCUGGAUGCAGACAGCCCGUCCCCGGUCUGGCUGCUCAUGCGCCGUGCGAGCUUGGCCUCACUUUUCUUUCUCAUCUGUAAUAUGGGAGCAGGCUUCCUUCUUUCCUUAUUAGGAUCAUUAACAGGAAUGGUCCAGCCAAGUGCAGCUGCGUGCGCCUGGCACUGGGCCACUUAGGAAAUGGUUGCUUCCACUGUGAGCACUGUCAGAGUCCCUCCUGCGGGACAGGUACUUUUCUGCCUCCCCUUUCUUAUUCAGGCCUUGGGAGAGUCCCUUUAGGUGGGUGUCGUUUCUGGAACCGAACUGGAGUUUUCUGCCAUCAUUUCCAGGGGCCUCAGGCUGUGAGAACCUCACUCCCAUAAGACCCAUAUAUCUCACGUUGGCCCAGCCCUUCAACACCUUCGAAUCCAGCCAACAAUGCGGCGAGGCUAGUGACUGUCUUCAUUUUUGUACGUGGGGGACUGGACUGGGAAGGUCUUGUCGCUGUGUUGGGUCAGCUGGUUGCCAUGGACAUGGACCAUGAGUCUCCUGCCCCGUGGAGGGCUCCCCUUCUGAGACCACAGCAGCUCCCUCAUAAGAUGUCUGAGUUCUGGGCCCAGGACCUUGAGGUCCCAUGUCCCAACCGGCACCCCAUGCUCUAGAAGGCCCCCCUGUGACUGUGGCCUCUUGAUGGGGAAAACAAUCAGCUGGUGGAGGGGAGAUGCCAUCUGGGGCCCACGCCCCCCCCCCCUUUUCCAGAGCUUGCCCUAGAAUUUUCUGCCUGAAGAUCCCUGAGCUGGCUUUCAAGCCAUCCUGCCUGGGGCCGUUUGUGCGCCUACACCUCAGUCAGAGAGUGGCCAGCUGUGACCAGGAUGGAGAUGUGCGGGCGGGGGUGUGCACAGGCGAGGGGGAGGCCACAAGGAAUGACAGGAGAAGGGGAACGGGCUGUAGGCUGAGAUGCUGCCCUGGGCCCAGCACACACUGAGGGCAGCUGGGUUCCGUGGGGACUGGGCUCUGGCCGCGCACCAGGGAAAAGGAGGCACACGGUCUGCGUGUCAGCUCUGACGGCAUCUGCAUCAUUGUACAACGUUAGAACCGGGGGCGGGAGGCUGAAGCAGACCCAUACCCUCAGUGAAGAGCCUGUCCGGUGGCCUGUGAGGUUAGCCCAGACUGUUCCCCAAGUUGAUUUUUCCAUGUUUCUUUUUUUUUCUUAUCCAAGAGACGGUAGGGACGCGCUUCGAGAUUGCUGCUGUUCUGAGAGCACGUCAGUUUUCUCCGUGGUGAUUCUGUCCUUCACGUGAUAAGAUUGUGAGACCAUGGUUGAUUCCACCAGGCUUGGCAUCCACCCCCAUUUCCCGACCCUCUCGAGCUCCUUCCCAAUUCCCUGGAGAUUGGAUGGGCACCAGUGCCCUCUUCUCUCUCUCAAGUGUACUUGGCGUCGCUCUCCAUGGAAAAUAAGGGCUGAAAGUGUUCUGGAAGACCAAGUGAAGAAUGGCAGAGUAGUAGAAGUACCACAUAAGGUAAUGAAAUGGAAUAAUCUGCUUUUCACUUGCCAGCUCCCCCAGGGGCACGGCACACCGCCUCAUCAAUCAGUCCCCCUUGUCCACUGCUCACCCCUUGCCGGUGGAGAGGUGGCCCAGGUGUGGCUGGCAGGCCAGCCUGGAGUCUUCCAGCUGGGCCACCUCCUGGCAUGAUGUGGGGCCUGUGGGGUUGUAGAGGUGAAAGGGCCAGGCACGCUUCUGUCUUCUAAGGCUGUGCGAGUACGAGGGACAGAGGUUUGCAGGCGGAACCCCAUCUCGGGCGGCCUCUGUCUGACUACAGUGUCUGCGACUGCAGAGCAUCCGCUGCUGUGGUUGUGCUUUUGAUAGGUUCCAGGUGCCGUCUUACAAGCUCAGGCUCUGAAGCUCGAUUGGAGUCCUGGUUUCUACUAUUUGCCUCCAUGGGACCUUGGAUCCGGCCCUUAACCUCUACGCGGCGCUCCCCCCCCCCCCCCCCCUUACCUGUAAUAGCACCCACCUCCAUCUGGGCAUUGUGAAGUGAAUGCGCUAGUAUCUUUUUUAAAAAAUUUUUUAUUAGAGUUGAUUUACCUUGUUCUGUCAACUUCUGCUGUGCAGCCAAGUGACCCAGUCAUACAUCUGUACAGACUCUCUUUCUCAUAUUGCCUUCUAUCAUGUUUCAUCACAAGUGAUUGGACAUAGUGCCCCGUGCUAUACAGCAGGACCUCAUUGCCUAUCCAUUCUAAAUGUAACACUUUACAUCUAUUAACCCCGAACUCCCAGUCCACCUCUCCCUCCCUACCUCAGCAACUUGCCAGAAAAUCAAUAAGGCAACAGAGAUCCUAAAUGCCUUAGUAUCUUUAAGUGCUUGUGCCACCACCACCCAGCACUGACAUGUGAAUGCGGAUGGCAGUUCUUUAGCUUCUGUUACCUCUUCUGCUUUUCCAGCGAGGAGACCGAGGCUUUGGUCAAGCGCUUCUCCAGGUCUGAAGCCCUGGGUGCUGUUGCCACCCAGUGCUGGGGCUGGGAUAAAGCUCAGGAGCCCAGAGUGCAGUUCUGUGGGAUUCUAGGGUGUGGAGAGUGCUGAGGUGGGGGGAGAACAGGGGUCUCCUGCCGUGGUUCUUGCCUUGGGGCAAGGCGUUUGUGGUAACCGGUGCUGGGGAGAGUGGGGCCCUGGGCAGAGGGAGGAGAGGGGAGGGGUGGGAAAGGAGGCUGCAGAGGCCCCCCCUCUUACCUGGAUAUUCCAGUUCUUCCUCCAGGAAGACCCAUUUCUUACAGAGUGAGUUGGGUCUUGGGGAAGCAAAGCUGGGCUGGAGAGAAUAUGGAACUGAGUUGACAUCUUCCUCCUCUGAUGCCCCCCUCUUUUUGUUCGUAUUCUGGACACUUCAGGGGCCAACUUUGGGGAUCCCACGUCCCAAGCGUUACUGCCUUCCUCUCCAAGUGGAGGAUUAGAUGUUCCUCAACUGGGGGCACCCAGACUCCAAAUGGCCCUCUCUUCUACGAGCAGUUGGGGACUUUUCGGCUCACCUGUCCAGUAUCGGCUCAAGCAGCUGUGACCUCUAGAGAGAUGAUCUGGUCCUGUGUCUUCUGGAGCCACUGAAAGGCAGGACUAGAGUGAGGAGAAAACAUUUCAGACUGGUUGAAGUAGAAUUUUGAUUAAAAGUGGGUUUAUUAUCAAAACAAUGUUUUCAUGGGUGACAUUUUGAAAGACAGACAAUUGUAAAGAAGAUAAAACAAGUCAGCCAGAUAAUAACCCUUCACAGCAUUUUGGUGUGUUUUCCCUUUAACUCAAACUCACUCCCUACCUUCCUCUCUUCCUUCCUUUCUCCCUCCCUCCCUUCUUUCCAUCAUUUAUCUGCCUAUCACUUGCACACCUGUAUGGAAUGCCCACUUAAGCUGGGCUCUGUAUCACCUAGACAGCUCAAGAAGUUGAGUCUAGGGGAAGACUAGACACAUGACCUAGAGGGAUUACAGAGAACAGAGGGCUGUGAAGACAGGGAUGCAGGGGCCUCAGAAACCCUGAUGAAGGAGGGGCCACCUCUGCCUGCACAACAGGUGACCCCCGGACUUCGGCAUGGGUGCCUUUCCACGUUCUUCUCUACACAUUUGGGUCAUAUAACCUGAUUUUUUCCACUUACUGUUAGAGCAUUCCCUUGUGUCCAUGAAUAUUUAAAACAGGUUUUAAAAAGAGCCUUAGCAUUGUGCUUUUUAGGCUUGCACCACUGAGUGGCCUUGUCUCUGACAUAUGCUGGCCAAAGCGGAGGACAGGAGGGGCCCCAUGACCAAGUGCAAGGCAUGGAAUGGCCCCCAAGAAGAGCUCAGAAUGGCUAGUUUUCUUUCCUCCUUCUCUUUGCUCUCCUUUGCCCCUUUUGCUAUUUCAGCCUGAAACCUGGGGAAGGGAGUUCCUGUUGUGGCACGGCGGAAACGAAUCUGAGUAGGAACCAUGAGGUUUGGGGUUCAAUCCCUGGCCUCGCUCAGUGGGUUAAGGAUCUGGCGUUGCUGUGGGCUGUAGUGCAGGUCGCAGAUGUGGCUUGGAUCCCGCAUUGCUGUGGCUGUGGUUUAGACUGGCAGCUUUAGCUCCAAUUUGAUCCCUAGCCUGGGAACUUCCAAAUGCCUCAGGUGUGGCCCUAAAAAAGC
rnacentral:lncRNA from 1 species